GCGAGCGCAGGCGGUUAGAAAAGUCUGAAGUGAAAGGCAGUGGCUCAACCAUUGUAGGCUUUGGAAACUGUUUAACUUGAGUGCAGAAGGGGAGAGUGGAAUUCCAUGUGUAGCGGUGAAAUGCGUAGAUAUAUGGAGGAACACCGGUGGCGAAAGCGGCUCUCUGGUCUGUCACUGACGCUGAGGCUCGAAAGCGUGGGGAGCGAACAGGAUUAGAUACCCUGGUAGUCCACGCCGUAAACGAUGAGUGCUAGGUGUUGGGUCCUUUCCGGGGCUCAGUGCCGCAGCUAACGCAUUAAGCACUCCGCCUGGGGAGUACGACCGCAAGGUUGAAACUCAAAGGAAUUGACGGGGGCCCGCACAAGCGGUGGAGCAUGUGGUUUAAUUCGAAGCAACGCGAAGAACCUUACCAGGUCUUGACAUCCCAGUGACCACCCUAGAGAUAGGGUUUCCCUUCGGGGCACUGGUGACAGGUGGUGCAUGGUUGUCGUCAGCUCGUGUCGUGAGAUGUUGGGUUAAGUCCCGCAACGAGCGCAACCCUUAUUGUUAGUUGCCAUCAUUGAGUUGGGCACUCUAGCGAGACUGCCGGUAAUAAACCGGAGGAAGGUGGGGAUGAC
rnacentral:rRNA from 1 species